CCUGCAUAAACUAAUCUAGCACAAAGUAUGAGUUGGGCCGACCAUCCUUGAACAGUUGCACCAACUUAAAGUAAGUGAAUAACAAUUUGGGAUGGAAGUAGUAAAGACGUUGAAAGGGUAAAGCCCAGAUCCAAAUUAAAAUACAUAUACUAAUUGAAGAACUACUAUGCAUGUUUAAUGCAUAUUUGUUGGUUUUUCUUGCUGGAUGGACUGUGUAGGAGGAAUAAUCAAGGUAUCAACAUCUAGAAUCCUUUAAAUAUCACUUUUUUGAAGUGAACUCGAUAGUCGUAAUCCAUUCUAGUGGGUCCGCUGGCAGAGGUAGCCAUCAUCAUAAGCAUGAACUUGUUGAAGUUGUUCAUCAUCUUCUCCAUUCUGUUGUAAUUUGGAGCCAAAGCCAACAUUACAAACAAUGAAUUAUUUUACUCUAUUAAUUCCUUUUGUGCUUUGGGUGCAUUGGACAUGGGAUCGAAGGCCUUAAGAUUUUGGCAUGAAGCUGUUUUUGAAUGAUCACAAUUAUUCAAGGUCGUUUGUUGCGUUUUUAUCAAUAGCUAUAUAUUUGAAUUAGGGGGUCGAAUUGUUAUGAAAGUAGUUAUUGAGCAAAGAUAUUAAGUGAUUGAACUUAAAGAGUCUAAAAUAAGUGCCCACCUAAAUCUCGACCACAUUAUUGUAGGCCAAAAUUUGAUUUGAAAGAAAAAGUCAGAGAAAAGAAGCGCUGAGAUAAUACCUUUUGAGUGAAUUUUGAAGCCAUUUCCAGAAGUUGUUGGCAAUGUUCUGCCUCUAGAGGAGCCGUUGGCAAUGAUGUGCCUCUAGAGGGCAUUUUUUCGAACACUUCAUGGGUGUCAAAAUAAGCAUGGCCUGUACAGAUUUAAAAGAGAAGCCAGUAAAAAGAAGCCUUGAGAAUUGAGAUAAUAUCUGUUGAGUAAUUUGAAGUCAUUUCAAGAAGCCGUUGACAGUGUACCUCUAAAGGGGAUUUUUUCGAACACUUCAUGGAUGCCAAAAUAAACAUGUCAUGUGCAUUCAGUUUCAAGAACCCAUUGACAAUGUGCCUCUAGAGGGAAUUUUUUUGAACACUUCAUGGGUACGAAAAUAAGCAUGGUCUGCGUAGAUUUGAAAGAAAAAGCCAGGAAAAAGAACCCUCAAAUAAUACCUGUUGAGUGAAUUUUAAAGUAAUUUCCACAAGCCAUUGGCAAUGUGCCUCUAAAGGGCAGUUUUUCAAACAUUUCAGAAGCCUUAAGAUAAUGCCUGUUGAGUGAAUUUUGAAGCCAUUUCCAGAAGUCGUUGGCAAUGUGUCUCUAGAGGGCAUUUUGUCGAACACUUCAUGGGUGUGCCAAAUAAACAUGGCCUGGACGUUCGUUUUUUCCGCUGAGAAUGAACUUGAUAAUCACUUAUGAUCAUGUCCUUCACUAUUACACUGAUAACAAUGAUGUAUUGAAUCAAGACGAUCUGAAAUAAAAAUACAAAAUGCAAAUAAGUGUAGCAGAAAAGAUGAAAAUUGCACUGAGGGAAGAAAGUAGACAAUCAAGUAACCAUACAAACGUAAAGCAAGCAAAAGAAUAAGAUUGAGAAGAAUAGUCUAAAGCAAGAGCGAGGAAAGAAAUAAACAAUAUAGAGAGACCAAAUAAUGCCAGGGCUGAAAAGGUUUACCCGGAGAACGAAGAAGGGGAACAACG
rnacentral:lncRNA from 1 species